CCUGAGCUGUGACAGGAAAAUGAGGGUUUACAUGAUGGAUAUCUUCAAAUUUUUUUUGCCUAUAUUCAAAAGGUAUGUCUGUAACUUCUUCACGCAUAACCAAUAAGAUUCUUUAAACAGCAAUACCAGACAGAAAAACGAACAUUUUCAGCAUACUUAACCGGUGUCAUGCUGAAGGACAUUGCAUUGGGGUAAAGAUGGGGAUAUUGUCCAGUUAAAAAAAGGAAUAUCCGUUUAUGACAGUUACUUGCUGCCAUCUGGCGUUUGAGAACAAACACUGCAAAGGCCGCGCGUUUAAACGCUACGGCACCCAAAGCUGUUUGCAUUGACUUAUAUGCGCCCUCUAGUGUCGAAAUAAACGAAUUACAGACACCGGGUACCGCAGUGGCGCCGUUUCCCGGCUUGACAGCAACCGGCAGCAUAGACGAGUCCUGUUUAUCGCAGCGAAAGCCGGCAGCGCGGUCCUGUUUGAUUUUCAGUCUUUAACCUGGGGCGCCUACGACUUCCGGGAUUUCACUGCGCUUCCACGAAGCCGAAAGCUUCAAAUGUCCUCGAUUAGGCCCAUGUAUGCUUAAAAAGGCAAACGACGAAACAAAAUGGAGUUGCAGCCAUUUCAUCAGCAAGCGGUGGCGUCGUUCUCCACCAUAGAGCCGCGCACGGUAACAAAGGCAGGCGGUCCGGCGCUCCUCCAUGCCGGGCAGCGGAGACGCGGCGUGCGCGCCGCCAAAUGGCGGAGCAAGGUGGGGACAAGGACGGCGAGAGCCGAGCUUGCGCGCCGCCGCCGUGGGGCCGAACACAAAAGCCGGCCUGGAUCCGCCAGCCGGAUCGGGAUCGCAGCUCGCCUUUCUGGGUCUUAAACUGUCUGUAAUGCAGUUCCCGAAUAGUUUUCUUGGUAGUCCAUUUUUUCCUUAGGUAAUGCAAUGUUUAAAACCCCAACAUAGAUCUGUAGCAGUACGAAAAACUGUAACACAGCAGUUACAUAAUUAAAAUAGUUAGAAGGAAACACAGCAUGUAAACACGGAUAUGUAGGGUAUGCAACGUUAAGAUUCUCUGUACAACAAUAAGAUCAGAAAAGCAAAAGACGAAGAAUUACUUUGGAAAUUACCUGAAAAAUCAGAAAUAUACAUAUACGAAUUUAGUAUAACCAAAAGGGGCAAUAAUGUUUUACACAUAAAAAAAAAUAUUUCAGAACACUGUAAUCAAAAAAUAGAAAGGUGUCCAUAUGCUAAAUUCACUACGUAAUGAAAAAGGUGUCCUUUUAGCUAUUCAGAUUGAUAUUAACACCAAGAGUGACAUGCUUUUCCCUGAGCUUUUGUCACUCGGUUAAACAGUAUUUAUAGCUAUAUCUUCCUAUUCCAGUGGAGGGCGACAGCAAGGAAGGAGACACAGCCGAAAGCGUCCAAGCAUAAACUGAGCCCUGCCUUCGGGCGGACAGACGCAGCGGUGGGAGGAUGAGGAAUUUGAGCGCUCAUCGCACGCAUGUCCAUACAAGUCCUGUUCUCUGGUCAGCAAAGGACUAUAGGAUCUCUUACCGUCCCGAAAGUGAACUGUCUCUAACUGGAGGAAAAUGCUCUCCUUUCACUCAGCUGUACAGCACUAAGGUGUAAGAACUCACUGAGUUCGUAUUAAUUUGCCACCUGGAGCCCUGGAUAAUCACAGGACAUGUCACCGGCUAAGGAGUCCAUAACAUCACUGGAUUAAUAAAGGAGAUGUCAGUUUAAA